AUGAAUUUGCAGGGGGACACAGCAUGUGUUGAGAAGGUUAAAACCUGACCCUUAGAACCUGAUCCGUUAACACGGGCGUAGGGAGCAACGUACACGAUUUC
rnacentral:ncRNA from 1 species